AAAGAGCAGAGCCAGGUGUCACCGCUGCUCGUGCAAGGGCAUCCAGUCCGUUCAUGGCAGAAAAGGCAGGUGAAGAAUGGAGAAAAGGUUAAAAAGAACUACACAGCGUGGUGAAAAAAAAACGAUGUUUGAUAUUCUCUAAAAGACAAGCGGCUCUUUGAAGGAAAACGCAAGACAAAGUACUUAUCUUCAAAACAGGCAGUGGCAAACCAGGAAGGACUCCAGGUAUUCCCCUCAUCCCCAGGAAAGUGGGUACAAGUCUCUUAGUGAUGUGCACAGCAUGACCUUCAACUCUUACAUGAAUAAAGCUGAAAGGAAACGGCGUGUUUAUCCGUUGGAACAAGAAAGCUGGAAGUGACCUGGAGGAUCCUGCUGUUGUCAAGUGAAACGUAUAAAGCAGGCUUGUCCUAUCCUAUCAAAAUCAAAUGGAGAAUUCCAGCUCAUUGCAUCCACAAAGCAGCAACCCAGUUUGUAAUUGGCGAAGAAAAACAAGGCUUUGGAUAACAAGCUGGAGGAAAAAAUUACUCUGAAGCAAGACCACAUUAUUUCAAAUACAAUGACUCUGGUUUCAAGGUAGUUUCUAGUACAAAAAUUCUUACCAAAACUUCACAUGAAUUAAUUUUUUCACUGAAUUAAAAGGAUUCUUUGGGUUUGUGACAAUUUUUUUAAAUCUUGAUUUCUUGUGCGUUUUUCAGUGAAAAACUGAGGAAAAACAAAAAUCCAGUGGUCAGAAACAAUUACUUCUAGUGAAGAACUUGACCCAGCUCUUCUUUCCAAAGCAAUGAAAGCUCUUCCAUUAACUUAAAUAAGAACAGGGUGGCUCUGCAGUGAGGACACCAAAAAAGCAUUUGUACUGAACACUGAGUUCUUCUCAUAGAAGGAGGGAAGUUGCCUCCAGGGAACACCAGAUCCUCCAAAUAAACCAGCACAUAACAGUGUGUGCUGUGAUGCUGGAGCCUGAAAGUUAUCAGAUCCAUGGGUAGGUUGACUGGGGCAACCACAGAGCACAUAAAAUACCCGACUAUGAGCAGAGAAGAACAAGAUGUAGAAUACAGAUUGGGGUUUCCUGUGAGAAACGUGCACACCUACCUUUGAACCAGGUGGUGCAGUCAAGCCUAAAAACGCAUAUACCGCGUUGUUCUCUCGUGCCUCGAAGAAAGCUUCAUAGUCCUUCACCAAAGGAGUCCACGAAGCAGGGGGAAACAAAAGGCAAAACAUGAGUUGUCAGAAAUAGCCACAGCUCAAUUUGUGUUAUCAAACACGCACCAAGCAAGCUGCUUCCUGUGGCCGAAUGCAAAAUUCAGUGGACCCUCAGGUAAUUGUUGUUCGCACUAAUCCCCUACCCAUUGUACCGCCUGAAAAGAGAAUAUCACUGUCUGGAGCAAGAAGAUGCUGCUGUGAGGUGCUUCUGCCUUUCCCAGAGGGAGAGCUUCCAUAGCAAGGCAGUUAUUGUCACUGGUCUGGCCUGGAUGUCCCUCCUGCAGGAGCAGGCUGAGUCUGUACCUUGUCAUCAGUAACACUCAUGCGCCCAGAUGUCAUCAUUGCUAAUUACUGAGGAGGAACGGCAAGUGUGCAACUAUGGACAUUAACUCUUAAACCUGUUAAAAGUUAAAUUUAAACCUGUAAACUGAGAGUACACCUUUUCCCAUCAUGUUUCUCAUUAAUGAUUACUCUACGCUAAUGAAGGAAAUCAGGUAGCACUGUUCAUUGUUCUCAUAGGGCCCUGUAGUUGCUCUAAAUACAUAACAGCCACUUCCCAGGAAAAUUAAGGUAAAACCAAUGAAAUAAUAAGAGAAAUACCAAUGCUCCCUUCUCUGCCCUUUUUUAUAUUUGAGGCAGAAGGCAGUGUUGGUAGAAACA